rnacentral:lncRNA from 10 species
UCCAGUUACCCUACGGUGAUCACACGUGUGCUGAUAUACCUCUUGUGCCCACGUUCCUCCUUGGGGCUGAACUUUCAAGGCAAACAAACUGAUCAGCGGAGAGAUGAAAGGAUAAGAUGCCUGAGGACAUUUAAUCACUUAACAUGAUGAAGACCUGAUUCCAUCCCCCACUCACUUUCUAAAGGUAAGGCUUUAUGAAGAGGCAAUAUUAUAGCUCCGUCAGGAUUAAGUCUAAGUCCUUGUCCUUGUAGCAGGACUAACGCGCUUUGAGUAUGUUGCUUAGUUUGGAACCUGAUUGUUCUUAAGACAUCCUGUUAUCCAGAAGCAGCUCAGGACAACCUGUUCAGGUUAAAUCACUUUCCAGAAAAGGAGUCUACGUUCAGUAAUUAUGAAGGAUUCCCAGAUAAAACAACGUGGAAAAAAACCUGGAAUUUGAGAUUGGGAGGUAUUGUCCUUUAAAUAUCUCAUCCUAGGGAAACUAGUCCUAAUAAUGUCACAGAGCUGAUUAUGGGCAGUGCCGGUUUCAUGGGAAAGCUGUCUUUCUUAGAAAACUUCCUGUGCUUCUAAGUCUCUUAAUUUCAUCAGAGGCCUGUAAUUUACAAAUAUGAAGGGAACAGUGGGUCUCCCUCUCAUUGUAUCAACUCAUUCUUGCACACAUACACAAUGCAAGGCUGAAGGAUAUUAUCAGGAUACCUCUGGGGCAUGGCAAGAAACAAAUAGUAGAUCAUCAGAAAUUAAAUGUGUUGGUAAGUUUACAGCAAAGUCUGAUUUAUUGCACAUGAUUUUUUGAAAGUUUUGAUGCAUGAAUGGCAUAUGGAGCAGUCCUAUUAACAGGAUCAUCUGAGUCAUCCCUGACUACCAGAUUAGAAGAUACCAGACUCAGUCGAACAGGACGACCUUUGGCAGGAACUGGUAUGUAUACUAGGUUGGCCCAUUAACAACCAUGAGUUCCUUUCCUUCCUUUACAAAAAUUUCCUGAUAAUUCAAAAUGCUGGUAUAUCCACACAGGGGCUUGGCCGUUAUCUCCCUCAACAGAAGUCAUAGUCUCCAGAAGAAAACCAAA